rnacentral:rRNA from 1 species
CUAACGCGUACGGUGUGUAGGCUGCUUUCAAAUCAUAUCUUUCAAAUAGCUCUUAUAACGAAGAUCUGUUUAAAGGCGAGAUACUUUAAAUAUCUUCAUUCUAAGGUAAAGAUAGGAUGAAUAAAAGCUAGAAUCAAAACGAGGAUAAGCCAAAUAAUACUUAGAGUAGGGUUGAUAUCCGUAGAUACUAAGUGGAAUACUAAAAGUGAAAACUAUUUAUCUAGAAAUGAUUGACGCUGAGAAACGAAGGUGAGAAUAGGAAAUAGGAUUAGAUACCCAGAUACCUCUCACUGUCAACGAUGAAUGGUGGUUUGUUAGUUUAUAGAAGAACUAGUAACGUGCCUAAACGGCGAAAAA